rnacentral:lncRNA from 1 species
UCUAUUCUCAUAAGAUGAUCUUGGAUUUGUUCCUUUACCACAGACUUUUUAGUGCAGUCCUGAUUUCUGUAUUAAUGAAUUGAGAAGAUGACAUCAGGCUCUUAGAUGCUUUCACAUGUGGAACAGGCAAAGAAAACUAUAGAUUCUCAGAGCUGCUGCUUUUCCUGUACCAUCCUCUUAUCACAUCCUCCCAGCUCAGAACAGUCGCUCUUCCAGGAUGAGCCAAGCACACAACAAAAUCCAAGCUGUGGUUCACACUAACACCGCGUUGAAGUCCUAAUACUGAAGAGAAGGCAAGUCUUGAGGGUAUUGUGCCCAUAGAUAAUUGGAAAAGCUGAAGAACAUUGUUGUAUACAUUCUAAAAAGAACUGAUAUUCAGCUAUAUGAACCACAAUUGAUUUUAAUUUUGUAACGAAAUAGGCAGCCUGAGAUUUUGAUCCUAUUUUAGAACCUGCCAAUAGGUAACAUUCCUGCACUGGAAACUGAGCUGAG